AGAGUUUGAUCAUGGCUCAGAUUGAACGCUGGCGGCAUGCCUUACACAUGCAAGUCGAACGCGAAAGGGGGCAACCCCGAGUAGAGUGGCGAACGGGUGAGCAAUACAUCGGAACAUUUCCUGUAGCGGGGGACAACCCCGAGAAAUCGGGGCUAAUACCGCAUACGAUCUACGGAUGAAAGUGGGGGACCGCAAGGCCCCACACUAUAGGAGUGGCCGAUGCCGGAUUAGCUAGUUGGUGAGGUAAUGGCCCACCAAGGCGACGAUCCGUAGCUGGUUUGAGAGAACGACCAGCCACACUGGGACUGAGACACGGCCCAGACUCCUACGGGAGGCAGCAGUGGGGAAUUUUGGACAAUGGGCGAAAGCCUGAUCCAGCCAUGCCGCGUGAGUGAAGAAGGCCUUCGGGUUGUAAAGCUCUUUCGGCGGGGACGAAAUAGCGCGGGGUAAUAUCCCGCGUUGAUGACGGUACCCGAAGAAGAAGGACCGGCUAACUACGUGCCAGCAGCCGCGGUAAUACGUAGGGUCCAAGCGUUAAUCGGAAUUACUGGGCGUAAAGCGUGCGUAGGCGGUUUCGCAAGUCCGAUGUGAAAUCCCCGGGCUUAACCUGGGAACUGCGUUGGAAACUACGAAGCUAGAGUGCGGCAGAGGGGGGUGGAAUUCCAGGUGUAGCAGUGAAAUGCGUAGAGAUCUGGAGGGACACCGAUGGCGAAGGCAGCCCCCUGGGUUAGCACUGACGCUCAUACACGAAAGCGUGGGGAGCAAACAGGAUUAGAUACCCUAGUAGUCC
rnacentral:rRNA from 1 species